UACGUAGGGGGCAAGCGUUGUUCGGAAUUACUGGGCGUAAAGGGCGCGUAGGCGGCACGGCAAGUCGGGAGUGAAAGGCCUGGGCUCAACCGAGGAACUGCUUUCGAGACUGCCGAGCUAGAGUGCGGAAGGGGCAACUGGAAUUCCCAGUGUAGCGGUGAAAUGCGUAGAUAUCAGGAGGAAUACCGAUGGCGAAGGCAGGUCUCUGGGCUAUAACUGACGCUCAUGCACGAAAGCGUGGGGAGCAAACAGG
rnacentral:rRNA from 1 species